CCGCGCUUCCCGUCCGACGGGUUUCAGAAAGCGUCCGCCUGGGGUCUGUGAGUCACUGAGGUCGGCAGUGGGACUGCGUGCGUGUGAACUCAGACUGCCUUUUUCCUGCUGCAGGAAGCCGGAGGGAAUCAGCCCAUUUACGCCCGUACCAGACUAGAAGAGAGCAGAAAAGUGGCAGCAGAGCACAGCACGUGAGAUUGGAGCAGUCCUCUCCUGGGAGAGACAGCACCAGAACUUUGCAUGGAACCUGAAUGAGCUGGUGGUUCGUGAACAGAGCUGUAUCAAUGCCAAUGCCCUGGCUUCACCAUCACAACAUAAAGACCCUAGAUACUAACCCUGGAGAAAUACUUGGGAAUUGUUUCUACUGCUUCGCUUUGCAACUUUAAGUCCAAAGUCAUUUCAAAAUAAAAAGUUUUUUUUAAAGGUG